rnacentral:rRNA from 1 species
UAGAGUGUCAAGCAGGCAGAUCAAUUUUCUGCCACCGAAUACAUUAGCAUGGGAUAAUGGAAUAGGACCCUGUCCUCCUAUUUUCAGUUGGUUUGCCGCGAGGACCAGGGUUAAUGAUUAAUAGGGAUAGUUGGGGGCAUUAAUAUUUAAUUGUCAGAGGUGAAAUUCUUGGAUUUAUGAAAGAUUAACUUCUGCGAAAGCAUCUGCCAAGGAUGUUUUCAUUAAUCAAGAACGAAAGUUAGGGGAUCGAAGACGAUCAGAUACCGUCGUAGUCUUAACCAUAAACGAUGCCGACCAGCGAUUAGGAGACGUUGAAUACAAAACACCACCAUGCGCAUUGCGGUCGUCUUUGGUGUCGCUCACAAGGCGGCACCGGGGCGGCUUAGCUCGCAUGGCACCGGU